AAGUCGUAACAAGGCUUCCGUAGGUGAACCUGCGGAAGGAUCAUUACAACGUAUCCACGUACCAAACCAUUGAACUGUUCCCAACAGAGUCAAACACUUGUGGAUGGAGUUAAUGGCUGUCUGCUUUUCGCUGAUGGAGUUCGCUGACUGUUGUCAGGGGACUGAAAGGCAUGCAGUCGCCAGAGCUGGUCUCUGGGACUUCGUUUACUCUGUUGCGGUUUUACCGUCAGCAGUUGUUUUACCAUUAUUGACCCUUUGAACUUAUGAACUGAACUUGAUAGCUUUGCAGCUGUCCUCGCUGGCUUCGGUCACGGACAAACUGCUUUGCUUGUCACAUUUACGAAACAAAGAACAACUCUUAGCAACGGAUAUCUUGGUUCUC
rnacentral:misc_RNA from 1 species